CUCCUGGGAAGUCCUCGUGUUGCAUCCC
rnacentral:ncRNA from 8 species